AGUGAACGCUGGCGGUAGGCCUAACACAUGCAAGUCGAACGGCAGCACAGUAAGAGCUUGCUCUUACGGGUGGCGAGUGGCGGACGGGUGAGGAAUACAUCGGAAUCUACUUUUUCGUGGGGGAUAACGUAGGGAAACUUACGCUAAUACCGCAUACGACCUACGGGUGAAAGCAGGGGAUCUUCGGACCUUGCGCGAUUGAAUGAGCCGAUGUCGGAUUAGCUAGUUGGCGGGGUAAAGGCCCACCAAGGCGACGAUCCGUAGCUGGUCUGAGAGGAUGAUCAGCCACACUGGAACUGAGACACGGACCAGACUCCUACGGGAGGCAGCAGUGGGGAAUAUUAGACAAUGGGCUGAAGGCUGAUCCAGCCAUACCGCGUGGGUGAAGAAGGCCUUCGGGUUGUAAAGCCCUUUUGUUGGGAAAGAAAAGCAGCAGGUUAAUACCCCGCUGUUCUGACGGUACCCAAAGAAUAAGCACCGGCUAACUUCGUG
rnacentral:rRNA from 1 species